ensembl:lncRNA
UUAAUAUAAUUGAAUUUCAAAUGUAAAAAUAAUCUCUGAGUGACAUAAUAAACAGUUGUUUUAAUACAUAUUACAUGACUUCUAAAUCCCCAAAGCAGCGCUUAUGGCAGGCUGACAGGUGUGUGCUGCAGCCGGCCUCCAUUUUGCCGAGUACGGUUUUUGCCACGGCGCUGGACGUGUAGCUGGCAAAAUCAAAAUGGUGGCUUAAGUUAUUAAAACUGAGCAGCUUUCAUCAUUGGCUGCUGAACGUCAAGGUUGGAGGAGCAGCGAGGAUUAAUGUCCUUUAAAGCACAAAGCCUGCUGUCACUGCCCGCUCUCUCUCUCUCAGCUGAUCCCGUCAUCUCAUCAUCCCACGCCGUCCUCUGCUCUCUUUUGCUCUUUCUCUCUUUCCGGCCAGCUGUCCAGUCGACGUCCAUCACUGCAGGAUUUUUUUCUGCUUCUCUCUCUCUCUCAUUUUCCCAGAUUUCCCUUUUUUUCUUUCUGAUUUUCCCACCAUCUCUUCCUCCUCUGGAUCCGGGCCGAGAUAUGAAGCGGCACCAUGGGUUUUAUGGAAUUCUACCUGGAGAUUGACCCCGUCACCCUGAACCUCAUCAUCCUGGUUGCCAGCUAUGUCAUCCUGCUGCUCGUCUUCCUCAUCUCCUGCAUCCUGUACGACUGCCGCGGCAAAGACCCCACCAAGGAGUACGCCCCUGACAACACGCCAGCGCCGCCCAGCCAGUCGCCCAUACGCCUGGUGGUCAUGCAGAACUCGCCCACCACCACCCGGUACGAGCCCAACAACAAAGCGAGCCACGCCGAGCUGCCGACGCCGGACCUGAGCCGGGACAGAGGAGAGCGGGAGCGGGAGAAGAGGAGUACUCUGGUCUGAGAGGAAGUGGAAGGUUCGGACAGAUAACCAUGAAGUGCUGCUCUUUCAUUCCCAGACUCUUAUUUUUUAAUUUGAACAUCCCGGAUGGCGCUGAGGAGCCAGCAGGAGAGUUUUGACCUCACCUGCAAAUCCCAGAAUUCCCUCCAGUUACCACCACCGUCCUCCGCUCACCUACAGCGCCAUCAGCUCACCACGGGAUAGUGGAUCUGUGGGAUUCUGGAGAUUCGGCUUCACCGGGAUCUGCAGAAACUUCAGAGCUCGCAGUGUGUGAACUUAAAGUCAUCAGUACCAGAUUCUCCAUCUCACCUCAGUGAUGAUGUGACCCCACCCCACCAGCCUGACAAAGGCUGUGUGGGUGGUGUCAGCACCUUCCCUGAAACCACAGAGUGUGGCCAUCACUGGAAAACUGAAGAUAGCAGUGAUGGAGUAGGGCGCUGGCUGCGGUUCUUCAGUGGAUGCCAUCUAAUCCAGGAGGAACACUCCUCGCUACCCUGCAGGAGUUUAACAAUAUAAAGUGCACUGUAUUCAAUCCUUAAAUACACAUGUUAAGUAUGCUUCUUCAUUUUGAGUAAACCGGA